AUUGAACGCUGGCGUCAUGCCUAACACAUGCAAGUCGAGCGGAUGAAGGGAGCUUUCUCCUGGAUUCAGCGGCGGACGGGUGAGUAAUGCCUAGGAAUCUGCCUUGUAUUUGGGGAUAACGUCCGUAAACGGGAGCUAAUACCGCAUACGUCCUGAUGGAGAAAGUGGGGGAUCUUCGGACCUCACGCUAUCAGAUGAGCCUAGGUCGGAUUAGCUAGUUGGUGGGGUAAAGGCCUACCAAGGCGACGAUCCGUAACUGGUCUGAGAGGGUGAUCAGUCACACUGGAACUGAGACACGGUCCAGACUCCUACGGGAGGCAGCAGUGGGGAAUAUUGGACAAUGGGCGAAAGCCUGAUCCAGCCAUGCCGCGUGAGUGAAGAAGGUCUUCGGAUUGUAAAGCUCUGUAAGUUGGGAGGAAGGGAAGUAAGUUUAUACCUUGCUGUUUUGACGGUACCUAAAGAAUAAGCACCGGCUAACUUCGUG
rnacentral:rRNA from 1 species